GUGAAUCAUCAAAUCUUUGAACGCAUAUUGCACUCUCUGGUAUUCCGGAGAGUAUGCCUGUUUGAGGGUAAUUAAAAAGAAUCUUGACCAAUUUUUUUGUUUAAAGGAAAUGAGUUCUCCGCGUUUAUAGCGGUAGCUUGAAAUAAAUUCUAGUCUCAUUUUCUUCGAGACUCUUAAUAAUAUUAUUUCGCAAAAUCUUCAAUAUCUAUCUAUCAAGUGUUGAUGCAUACAAAUUUCGUUUCUAUGCGA
rnacentral:misc_RNA from 1 species